UCGUGAGACCGGAAAUACAUCAAGGCUAUAUAUUUUCAUCCAGCUUAUUUGACUUAUGUGCAGAGUACUUCAUGGAAAGUAACUUGCUGAAAGAAUCUGAAGUGGGAAACAAAAUUACUGUGAGAAGUAUGAAUAACCUUAGUUUUAAGAUGACAACAUAUAAAUGGCUGAAAAACACUAGGAACUAAAGGUGAAAGGAGAAAUUGAGAAAGCUGAAUUAAAACUCAAUACAAAAACAAACAGACACAAAACAUAAGAUCAUGGAAUUUGGCCCCAUCAUUUUGAGAUAUUUUAAUGAGAUACAAUUGAAUUAGUGACAGGUUUCACUUUCUUGAUCUCUGAUAUGACUGCGUGAUGUGACUGAAGCCAUGAAACAAAAAGGCACUUGCCCAUUGGAUGAAAAGCUAUGACCAAUCUCAAAACCAUAUUACAAAGCUGAGAGAUUAUUGAAAAAGGCCUGAAUGGUCAAAGUUGAUUUUCAGGAGUAAUGUAUGGAGGAGUGAGCAGGAACACAAGAACUGACUGCCAAAAUAUAGAUGCUUUACAACAGGAGGGCUAGAGAAGACAUGUUGAGAAUGGAGUUCAAACUAAUAAAGUGUGAAGGAAAUGAUUUCAGAUUAUUCUCAGAAGGACUGAUGCUGCACAUGAAGAGCCAAUAUAUCAGCCUCUUGAAGCCAAGAGCAAAAUCACUGGGAAGAAACUGAUGCUGGGAAAGAUUGAGCACAGGAGAAGAAGGAAACGACAGAGGGUGAGAUGGCUGAAAAGCAUUGUUGACUCAAAGGUCAUGGGUUUGAAUACAACUCUGGGAGAUUUGAAUGGCAGGUGAGCCCUGGGUUCUUGCUGUACAUGGAGUCACAAGAGUCUGACAAGUCUGAGUGACUGAACAACAUCAAAAAGUUAGAACUGGCAAUGCUUGGGACAUGGUUCAGAUUGCAUGUUAAGUCUGUCAUUGUAAUUGGAAUGAUAAGUGAGAUUUGGGACAUUUAGAAAGAACACAGCUCUUGUCAGUUUCCUUGUUUUCCUCCCUCAUAUUGUACUUCCCACAAUGUCUUUUUAAAGCUUCCCAGAGAAGGAGAACACCGGCG
rnacentral:sRNA from 1 species